rnacentral:rRNA from 1 species
UACGUAGGGUGCGAGCGUUGUCCGGAAUUAUUGGGCGUAAAGGGCUCGUAGGCGGUCCAUCGCGUCGGGAGUGAAAAGCUGGGGCUUAACCCCAGUCCUGCUUUCGAUACGGGUGGACUAGAGGUAGGCAGGGGAGAACGGAAUUCCUGGUGUAGCGGUGAAAUGCGCAGAUAUCAGGAGGAACACCGAUGGCGAAGGCAGGUCUCUGGGCCACUACUGACGCUGAGAAGCGAAAGCAUGGGGAGCGAACAGG